rnacentral:rRNA from 1 species
GAUGAACGCUGGCGGCGUGCCUAAUACAUGCAAGUCGAGCGAACGGACGAGAAGCUUGCUUCUCUGAUGUUAGCGGCGGACGGGUGAGUAACACGUGGAUAACCUACCUAUAAGACUGGGAUAACUUCGGGAAACCGGAGCUAAUACCGGAUAAUAUUUUGAACCGCAUGGUUCAAAAGUGAAAGACGGUCUUGCUGUCGCUUAUAGAUGGAUCCGCGCUGCAUUAGCUAGUUGGUAAGGUAACGGCUUACCAAGGCAACGAUGCAUAGCCGACCUGAGAGGGUGAUCGGCCACACUGGAACUGAGACGCGGUCCAGACUCCUACGGGAGGCAGCAGUAGGGAAUCUUCCGCAAUGGGCGAAAGCCUGACGGAGCAACGCCGCGUGAGUGAUGAAGGUCUUCGGAUCGUAAAACUCUGUUAUUAGGGAAGAACAUAUGUGUAAGUAACUGUGCACAUCUUGACGGUACCUAAUCAGAAAGCCACGGCUAACUACGUG